rnacentral:rRNA from 1 species
AGAUACCCUACUAUGCCUGAGCCUUAAACACCGACCAACCGCCAGAAGACAACGAGCAAGGCUUAAAACUCAAAGGACUUGGCGGCGCCCCACACCACCCUAGAGGGGCCUGUCACAUAAUCGAUAACCCACGAUAAACCCGACCACCACUUGCCAACCCAGCCUAUAUACCGCCGUCGCCAGCCCAUCUUAAAAAGAGACGAAAUGGACAAAAUAGCCUCACGCGAGCACGACAGGUCAAGGUGUAGCUCAUAAGGUGGCACUGAUGGACCACAUUGCUAUUCUAGCCAAAUCAAAAUUGCACUGAAAACGCAAUCUAAAGUGAAUUUAACAGUAAGGCUGACAAGAAAAUCCGCCUAAAGAACGCCCUGGGGCGUGCACACACCGCCCGUCAC